rnacentral:rRNA from 1 species
GACGAACGCUGGCGGCGUGCUUAACACAUGCAAGUCGAACGGAAAGGCCCUGCUUUUGUGGGGUGCUCGAGUGGCGAACGGGUGAGUAACACGUGAGUAACCUGCCCUUGACUUUGGGAUAACUUCAGGAAACUGGGGCUAAUACCGGAUAGGAUCUCCUGCUGCAUGGUGGGGGUUGGAAAGUUUCGGCGGUUGGGUAUGGACUCGCGGCUUAUCAGCUUGUUGGUGGGGUAGUGGCUUACCAAGGCUUUGACGGGUAGCCGGCCUGAGCGGGUGACCGGCCACAUUGGGACUGAGAUACGGCCCAGACUCCUACGGGAGGCAGCAGUGGGGAAUAUUGCACAAUGGGCGGAAGCCUGAUGCAGCAACGCCGCGUGCGGGAUGACGGCCUUCGGGUUGUAAACCGCUUUCGCCUGUGACGAAGCGUGAGUGACGGUAAUGGGUAAAGAAGCACCGGCUAACUACGUG